rnacentral:rRNA from 1 species
AGUCGAACGCGUCUUGGUUAUUGAUGUUGGAUGCUUGCAUUUAACUGAUUCACAUUGAGACGAGUGGCGAACUGGUGAGUAACACGUGGGUAACCUGCCCUUGAAGUAGGGGAUAACACUUGGAAACAGGUGCUAAUACCGUAUAACAACCAAAACCACCUGGUUUUGGUUUAAAAGAUGGCUUCGGCUAUCACUUUAGGAUGGACCCGCGGCGUAUUAGCUUGUUGGUAAGGUAACGGCCUACCAAGGCAAUGAUACGUAGCCGACCUGAGAGGGUAAUCGGCCACAUUGGGACUGAGACACGGCCCAAACUCCUACGGGAGGCAGCAGUAGGGAAUCUUCCACAAUGGACGAAAGUCUGAUGGAGCAACGCCGCGUGAGUGAUGAAGGGUUUCGGCUCGUAAAACUCUGUUGUUGGAGAAGAACAGGUGUGAGAGUAACUGUUCACAUCUUGACGGUAUCCAACCAGAAAGCCACGGCUAACUACGUGCCAGCAGCCGCGGUAAUACGUAGGUGGCAAGCGUUGUCCGGAUUUAUUGGGCGUAAAGCGAGCGCAGGCGGUUUCUUAGGUCUGAUGUGAAAGCCUUCGGCUUAACCGGAGAAGUGCAUCGGAAACCAGGAGACUUGAGUGCAGAAGAGGACAGUGGAACUCCAUGUGUAGCGGUGAAAUGCGUAGAUAUAUGGAAGAACACCAGUGGCGAAGGCGGCUGUCUGGUCUGUAACUGACGCUGAGGCUCGAAAGCAUGGGUAGCGAACAGGAUUAGAUACCCUGGUAGUCCAUGCCGUAAACGAUGAGUGCUAAGUGUUGGAGGGUUUCCGCCCUUCAGUGCUGCAGCUAACGCAUUAAGCACUCCGCCUGGGGAGUACGACCGCAAGGUUGAAACUC